rnacentral:rRNA from 1 species
AUUGAACGCUGGCGGCAGGCCUAACACAUGCAAGUCGAACGAGUGGCGGACGGGUGAGGACUGUCUGGGAAACUGUCCGAUGGAGGGGGAUAACGACUGGAAACGGUAGCUAAUAACGCGUACAAACGGAUGUGCCCAGAUGGGAUUAGCUUGUAGGUGAGGUAACGGCCAACAUAGGCGACGAUCCCUAGCUGGUCUGAGAGGUUGACCAGCCCCACUGGAACUGAGACACGGUCCAGACUCCUACGGUAGGCAGCAGUGGGGAAGAUGGCACAAUGGGCGCAAGCCUGAUGCAGCCAUGCCGCGUGUAUGAAGAAGGCCUUCGGGUUGUAAAGUACUUUCAGCGGGGAGGCGUUACCCACAGAAGAAGCACCGGCUAACUCCGUGCCAGCCGCCGCGGUAAUAC